ACUACCAAAAAUAUUUGUCUUGUUUUGUCUUGGUUAGUAACAUUUUACUUAAUUCGUGGACACAUGUGCUUGCAUGAAGAAAUUUCAAGAAGAAAUAAGAAUGAAUAAGAAAAAACGAAAGAGAUCAUUCGAAGACCAUUUUCUUGUAAAUUCUUAUAACAAGAGAAAUGUCCUUACUUUUCUUAAGCUAAGAAAUAAUUUCUCAAAAAUACUUUUUCCCCUUAGAAUUUUCAAGAAAUGUAAGUCAAAUAUUCUUGGUAUUCUUGUAUGAAGACUGAAAUUCUUGCCAUAUUUAAGAAAGUACAAAAAUUUUUCCCUACCCCCUCUUGAUUUUCUUAUAGUAAGAAAAAAACAAGAACAUCAAUAUAUAAAAACAAGUAGUUACUGGAACAAAAGUCUUGAAUUUUCUUGUUUCACAUAUCAAGAAACAUCAAGAAACUCUAUUCUUGCUUUUUGGGGAAUGUUUAAGAAAAAACAAGAAUUUCGUUCUUACAUUUCCUCAGGUAUAAGCUUUUCUGCUCAGAAAAACAAGAACAUUCAAGAUAAUUUAAGUACAAGAUAAAGUGCAAGGAAUUACUGGAAUAAUAAUCUUGAAUGUUCUUGUCUUUUGUAUCCAGAAACUUUGAUAAACGCAUUUUUUUUCCUAAGUGAAGAAAGUAUUUCUCAUAUAACAUUAGCCAUGUUAGCGUUCACGAGUGUUCUAGAAAUCUGGAGGAUUUGCAUAAUUUAUCUUAAUUUUAGAUAAUUAAGAACUCAGGUACAAGAGUAUGGUCCUUGACUUACUUGACUGAAUACUAAUAACAAAACAGGAAAUUACAGAACAAGCUUUGACUAGCAUAAGACUCUUGAAUGUUCGUGAUUGUUGUUUUUAUUAAAAAAAUCUAAUAAAAACUAGCACAUAUAGAAACUUUUCCAUUGACCUUCUUGGCAGACACUGUUUAUCAUAAUCCAUGUGUCUAUCAAGAUGUAAAGAACAAUUAGUUGGAACCAGCAUAGUUUUUGUCUAUUUUCUCAAUAUCAGAUCAGAGUUUAAGAAAUUAAUUCUAUAUUUUUCUGGUAAUAAGACAACAAUUUUGCUAAGGAUCAUGGGAAAUUACUCCCAUCAUCCUUUGCUGCAAAUUUCAAAUUCUAGACAGUUGCAGCUUGCAUGCAAACUGCCUCUCCUGGUUUAUUUGUCUGAUGUGCAUUAGAUCUUACAAAUACAGGGCACAGAUAUGGUAGAUUUUCUUUAGGACACUUGCCUGUAUCACCUGGGACCCUGUUUUCAACAUGGCCGCGCAUUUCUAAGCUCCAAAAUGCAACCAAAGCCGAAGUCAAGCUUGGAACAUUAUCUAUUCAGGCGUGGAAACCAGUUGGACCAAAGAGGAUGCCCCCAUCUCAACUUUGGAAAAGCUUUCAACAAGAACAAGUGACAUGUAUUAUGAUUAUGAUACCAUCACCAACAACAUUACAGCAGUAAUGGUGCUGUUUUAGAAGGACAAUAAUUAAGUCAUUAGUAUGCUCAGUAUCAGGAAAAUGGAUUUUUAUAAGCAAGCAUCAUAUAUAAUCUAAAUCUGUUGGUAUCUGCAAUAAUGUCGCAAUCUUUAAAAUAAUGGUUCAUAGGGAAAAAAAUGCCCCCAAAUCUGGUAUGAAACUUAUUGAUGGACAUGAGUAUGAUUGGAAAUAUAUUUACAACUAUAUAAACAGCAACAUUGACCAGUUCGUGAUACAAAAACCUCAAUCUUACUUUAAGAAACUUUUCUAUGUUUGUAGGUGUAAGAAAUUCAGUCUUGAACUUAAAGAUAGCAAGAUGUUGCUAAUACAAAAACUUCAAUAUUAGCUCAGCAAAGUAGUACCCUAGGUCACUAUAGGUGUACGAAAUUUGAUCUUGGUGUAAGAGUAUAUUAAUCUCAGAUGUAAGAGAAUAUCUUUAGGCCAUAAGAAGUGUGAUUUUGAUUUAAGAAAGUUACUCUUGUUGUAAGAACAAUUAAGAAAAUAUUUCUAGCAAUAAGAAGUGUGCUCUUGAUGUAAGAAAGUUAUUCUUAAUAUAAGAAAUUUAAUCUUGGUAUAAGAACACCAAUCUUGAAAGUAAGAAAAUAUUUCUGGGAAUAAGAAUUGUGCUCUUGCUGUAAGAAAGUUACUCUUGCCGUAAGAAAUUUAGUCUUGGUAUAAGAACACCAAUCUUGAAAGUAAGAAUAUAUUACUAGCCAAUAAGAAGUGUUGUCUUGAUGUAAGAAAGUUAUUCUUAAUAUAAGAAAUUUAAUCUUGGUAUAAGAUCACAAAUCUUGAAAGUAAGAAAAUGUUUCUAGGGAAUAAGAAUUGUUGUCUUGAUGUAAGAAAGUUAUUCUUGUUAUAAGAAAUUUAAUCUUGGUUUUAAGAAUGCCAAUCUUGAAA